rnacentral:lncRNA from 1 species
AGGCGCUGCUGGUUUCUUUGUGAAACAUGUGCAGACAGGGAUGUGUAUUCAUGUCACAAGAAUAGUACAGACGGACUUAACUUAACUUAUGUGGAACUUUCCAACAACUGUCUGGAUCCAGCUGCUCAGUUUCGGUUUCUUGAUAAUAGUGCCAUGCUCAAUUUGAAAAGAAAGGGAUGUUUCGAGGGAACAGCUAGGGAUGGUACUGGUUAUCAUCUUCCUAUGUUGUAUUUGCUCCUUACUAAAGAUCCUUCAAUUAAUUGUCGUGAUCCGUACCAUGCUAUAACCCAGACCUCUUGGGGAGGUUUAUCUGUUUUUUAUUUACAUGAU